CAGCAGCCGCGGUAAUACAGAGGGUGCGAGCGUUAAUCGGAUUUACUGGGCGUAAAGCGUGCGUAGGCGGCUUCUUAAGUCGGAUGUGAAAUCCCUGAGCUUAACUUAGGAAUUGCAUUCGAUACUGGGAAGCUAGAGUAUGGGAGAGGAUGGUAGAAUUCCAGGUGUAGCGGUGAAAUGCGUAGAGAUCUGGAGGAAUACCGAUGGCGAAGGCAGCCAUCUGGCCUAAUACUGACGCUGAGGUACGAAAGCGUGGGGAGCAAACAGGAUUAGAUACCCGUGUAGUCCCUGUCUCUUAUAC
rnacentral:rRNA from 1 species